GAACCGUGCAAAGGUAGCGUAAUCACUUGCCUAUUAAUUGUAGGCCUGUAUGAAAGGCAUAAUGAGGGUUUAACUGUCUCUUUUAGUAAAUCGAUUAAACUGAUCUCCUAGUCCAAAAGCUAGGAUACUAACAUAAGACCAGAAGACCCUGUGAAGCUUUAACUAAACUAUUAAACCCUAUAAUAGCUCCUUUCGGUUGGGGCGACCUUGGAAAAAAAAAGAACUUCCAAACACAAUAUACCAUCUAUAUUUACCAGGCUAACAAGCCUACCACGACCCAGCACAGCUGACAACUGAACCAAGUUACUCCAGGGAUAACAGCGCUAUCUUCUUCAAGAGCCCAUAUCAAAAAGAAGGUUUACGACCUCGAUGUUGGAUCAGGACAUCCUAAUGGUGCAACCGCUAUUAAAGGUUCGUUUGUUCAACGAUUAACA
rnacentral:rRNA from 1 species